AUAGAGAGCACUGGAACAGCUGCCCAGGGAGGAGCAGCUGCUGAUGUGUUUGCUCUCUCUAUGUCCAAUGUCAGAUCCCCCACGUCCCCCUGCAACUUCAAAUUCAUCUUCUCCAAGGAAGCACACUUGGAAUUCACAGUCCCCGCCUGGUGUCCUGCUUUCUGGAGACGCUGAGCGAGUUUUUUCCUUAAGGAACAUAAAUAAAACAUGAAUAAGAUUGAAAAAA